CACGAGGGGUCCUAGCGUUGUUCGGAAUCACUGGGCGUAAAGCGUAUGUAGGCGGGCUUUUAAGUCAGGUGUGAAAUCCCAUGGCUCAACCAUGGAAUUGCAUUUGAAACUGGAAGUCUUGAGUGUGGGAGAGAUUGGUAGAAUACCUGGUGUAGUGGUGAAAUACGUAGAUAUCAGGUGGAAUACCGGUGGCGAAGGCGGCCAAUUGGCCCAACACUGACGCUGAGAUACGAAAGCGUGGGGAUCAAACAGG
rnacentral:rRNA from 1 species